CCUACGGGAGGCAGCAGUGGGGAAUUUUGCACAAUGGGCGCAAGCCUGAUGCAGCGACGCCGCGUGAGGGAUGACGGCUUUCGGGUUGUAAACCUCUUUUAUCCACCACGAAGGCCAGGUAUUCGCCUGGUUGACGGUAGUGGUUGAAUAAGCGCCGGCUAACUACGUGCCAGCAGCCGCGGUAAU
rnacentral:rRNA from 1 species